rnacentral:lncRNA from 1 species
GUGGUCCUAUAUUGUUGUCAUUGUUAGCAUUGCUGCUGUGGUAUUUUUAAUGAUAUUACAUUCCAGAUGUCAUAUGGAAGAGAAACAACAUAAAGUAGAAUAAUAGAAGAAUUGAAACAUAAAAGUUCAAAACCGAUAGAAGCGCAGCCAAUGUAAAAUGGCAGAAGUAAAACACAACACAAAUUACAAUAACAGUCUAACAGUGUAUUUGUCGUGA